rnacentral:rRNA from 1 species
UACGGAGGAUCCGAGCGUUAUCCGGAUUUAUUGGGUUUAAAGGGUGCGCAGGCGGGAGAUUAAGUCGGCGGUGAAAUUUUGCAGCUCAACUGUAAAAGUGCCUUCGAAACUGGUUUCCUUGAGUGUGGAUGAAGUAGGCGGAAUUUGUGGUGUAGCGGUGAAAUGCAUAGAUAUCACGAGGAACUCCGAUUGCGCAGGCAGCUUACUAAGCCAUAACUGACGCUCAGACACGAAGGCGUGGGGAUCAAACAGGAUUAGAUACCCG